UACAGAGGUCUCAAGCGUUGUUCGGAUUCAUUGGGCGUAAAGGGUGCGUAGGCGGCGCGGUAAGUCGGGUGUGAAAUCUCGGAGCUUAACUCCGAAACUGCAUUCGAUACUGCCGUGCUUGAGGACUGGAGAGGAGACUGGAAUUUACGGUGUAGCGGUGAAAUGCGUAGAUAUCGUAAGGAAGACCAGUGGCGAAGGCGGCAUCCUGGACCGACAUUGACGCUGAGGUGCGAAAGCGUGGGGAGCAAACAGG
rnacentral:rRNA from 1 species